rnacentral:lncRNA from 1 species
UUGGACAAUUUGAAAAUACUAAGCGACGGGACCAUGAAUCUGGCUGAAAAAAAAAAGUUGAGCAGCGACCAAAGAAGCCAACAGAGACACGAACACGACAGAACAUCAAACGGAACCUCGUGCCGACUACAAAUCGACCCUCUCCGCUUAAUGGAACUCCAUAUUUCAGCAAAGAUUCAAAGCUUCAAAUCUCUUAAGGAAGUUCAAAUCUCAAUAAAUUCCCAGAUUAAGAACAGAGACUAUUGAAGCCAACAAUCAGAGAAGAAACUAAAUUUUGUUUUGUAUUUUUCGGGCUUGAAGACAAAAAUUAAAACUCCAAGGAACUGAUUUUUUUAUAUGUAUCUACAUGUAAAUAAAAUUGAGUUGAAAAUCAGAAGAAGAAAGUUGGAACCAAAAUGCAAAACCUCCAAUCUUAAUUUUUCCAAUCCUUUCUGUCCGGAACUUCUCCUUUGUUUUUGCGUACUGUUCUCCUGUGCAUGGGGGUGUGUCAUAGCUGGGAAGGGUGGUCGUUCACCAGCGUGAAGUUAGAGGGGCUAGCGGUGGCGCUAUGGUGUUAGGGGUGUUCUGGCCGACAACUUUCUGUUUGGUUAAGGUGUUGUGUAUUGGUUAUCAAGAUGAAAAUGGGUUAGGGUUUUAAUCUUGUAUUUAGUUCAGAAAUAAGAG